AGUCGAACGGCAGCGCGAGAGAGCUUGCUCUCUUGGCGGCGAGUGGCGGACGGGUGAGUAAUGCAUCGGGAUCUACCCUGUCGUGGGGGAUAACUUGGGGAAACCCAAGCUAAUACCGCAUACGACCUACGGGUGAAAGCGGGGGCUCCUUUUAGGACCUCGCGCGAUUGGAUGAACCGAUGUUCGAUUAGCUUGUUGGUAGGGUAACGGCCUACCAAGGCGACGAUCGAUAGCUGGUCUGAGAGGAUGAUCAGCCACACUGGGACUGAGACACGGCCCAGACUCCUACGGGAGGCAGCAGUGGGGAAUAUUGGACAAUGGGCGAAAGCCUGAUCCAGCAAUGCCGCGUGUGAAGAAGGCCCUCGGGUUGUAAAGCACUUUUAUCAGGAGCGAAAUCUGCGUGGUUAAUACCCGCGUAGUCUGACGGUACCUGAGGAAUAAGCACCGGCUAACUCCGUGCCAGCAGCCGCGGUAA
rnacentral:rRNA from 1 species